rnacentral:lncRNA from 1 species
CCCUUAUUUUGAAAGUGCAGAUAAUAGCACCAGCAAUUUACUGGGCCACAAGUUUGAGUAUCAGAGUUCACCACGAAAUGUGAAUAUAAAAAUAUCAGCACAAUGUGAAGAUAAAAAUAUCAGCACAUAAACCUAAAGAGCAGGUGGUCUAAAUGACCAAAGCCUAUGCCAAGAGGGUUUGAUUCAUUCUUUCGGAGGAGCUGACACCUUGGAAGUGUAAACAGCUGGAUGGCUCAGGAGAGUCAAGUCAGCCGAAUUGCUCUGCUCUAUCAGUGCUGUUGCAGAUUUUUGUUGUCACAACCGGCAGACAGACUUUCCCAGGAGGCUCAGGUAUAUAAAGGCGUGAAGCACCUGAAAACUGUCAGCCAUUUUUAUCAUCUCCACCGUCAUUGUCGUGAGGAGCGAGGGGAAAGAGCUGGAAGUGGAUUUGCCCUCCAUUCGGCAGGGUAUUCCACGUAUUGUGGAACCCGGUGCUUGCAGCAGCCUUGCCGCAGGGGAGCACAGUAGAUAAAUUGCUGAGUUCUUAUGGCGUGCCACUCAUACUGCAAUGAAUGAAAGGGAUUUAUAAACGAAUAACUGAGCUAUCACAAUGUGAGUGAUAUAACAAAUAUAUAUGUCCCAAGUGCUAUGGGGGCUCAGGAGGGAC